rnacentral:rRNA from 1 species
GCAGCCGCCGCGGGAAUACGUAGGGUGCAAGCGUUAAUCGGAAUUACUGGGCGCAAAGCGUGCGCAGGCGGUUCGCUAAGACAGAUGUGAAAUCCCCGGGCUUAACCUGGGAACUGCAUUUGUGACUGGCGGGCUAGAGUAUGGCAGAGGGGGGUAGAAUUCCACGUGUAGCAGUGAAAUGCGUAGAGAUGUGGAGGAAUACCGAUGGCGAAGGCAGCCCCCUGGGCCAAUACUGACGCUCAUGCACGAAAGCGUGGGGAGCAAACAGGAUUAGAUACCCCAGUAGUCCCUGUCUCUUAUAC